AGAUGGCGGAUCGGCUUCGCUUCACACUACAAAUUGAAGGUCCGUUGUUGCUGACUACAGAAAGAUUCUUAUAUGGAGGCAUGUAAAAGCAAGGAAAGUGAAACUUCAACUAGACCUUGAGUUCAGUUUACAAUAUGAAGAUCCUGAUAUCAACAUCUGAUCUUAUCAACACCUGAUUUUCAUCUGAGAGUACCAACAUGUUACAAAUGAGAAUUUUCCCCACAAAUUCUUUGGACAACCGCACCACCACCUAUUUCAUUUGAUGACAAUUUUAAGGCAAACAGCAUCCAAAACUGACAAGACAGCAGAUACCCUGGCUAAUGUUUUGAAGGUUUAUGAUGAGCAGGAACUGCAUGAUGUCAGUUCAUGAUGGACUACUGUUAUCAGAGGUCUUUUGGUCUUGCUGCGUGAGCGUGACUGGGGAUUCUUUAGGACC